GCUUACGGCCAUACCCACCUUAGGCACGCCCGAUCUCGUCUGAUCUCGGAAGCUAAGCAGGGUCGGGCCUGGUUAGUACUUGGAUGGGUGACCGCCUGGGAAUACCAGGUGCUGUAAGCA
rnacentral:rRNA from 1 species